rnacentral:rRNA from 1 species
UACGUAGGGGACUAGCGUUGUUCGGAAUCACUGGGCGUAAAGCGCACGUAGGCGGCUUUGCAAGUUAGAGGUGAAAUCCCGGAGCUCAACUCCGGAACUGCCUUUGAUACUGGCGACCUUGAGGCUGGAAGAGGUUAGUGGAAUUCCCAGUGUAGAGGUGAAAUUCGUAGAUAUUGGGAAGAACACCAGUGGCGAAGGCGGCUAACUGGUCCAGAUCUGACGCUGAGGUGCGAAAGCGUGGGGAGCAAACAGG